rnacentral:tRNA from 2 species
GCGAGUGUGGCGGAAUGGCAGACGCACCAGACUUAGGAUCUGGCGGUUUACACCGUAAGGGUUCAAGUCCCUUCACUCGCACCA